rnacentral:rRNA from 1 species
GACAAACGCUGGCGGCGUGCUUACCACAUGCAAGUCAAACGAGACAAUUGAAAGCUUGCUUUCAAAAGUCAAGGGGCAAACGGGUGAGUAACGCGUAAACAACCUGCCUUUGAGAUGGGGACAACAGUUCGAAAGGACUGCUAAUACCGAAUGUUGUAUAUUUUCCACAUGGAAAAUAUAUUAAAGAUGGCCUCUAUUUAUAAGCUAUCGCUCAAAGAUGGGUCUGCGUCUGAUUAGCUGGUUGGGGGGGUAACGGCCUACCAAGGCAACAAUCAGUAGCCGGUCUGAGAGGAUGAACGGCCACUUUGGGACUGAGACACGGCCCAAACUCCUACGGGAGGCAGCAGGGGGAAAUCUUCCACAAGGGACAAAAGUCUGAGGGAGCACCGCCGCGGGAAGGAUGAAGGAUUUAGGUCUGUAAACUCCUUUUAUAAGGAAAAAAAUUUGACGGUACCUUAUGAAUAACCACCGGCUAACUCCGUG